GUCUCUAUGGCUCAAUCGAUUUAUCGCGUAUGGCUGUUAACUGAAAGGUUGGUGGUUCAAGCCCACCCAGGGACG